rnacentral:rRNA from 1 species
UACGGGGGGGGCAAGCGUUGUUCGGAAUUACUGGGCGUAAAGGGCUCGUAGGUGGCCAACUAAGUCAGACGUGAAAUCCCUCGGCUUAACCGGGGAACUGCGUCUGAUACUGGAUGGCUUGAGAUUGGGAGAGGGAUGCGGAAUUCCCGGUGUAGUGGUGAAAUGCGUAGAUAUCGGGAGGAACACCAGUGGCGAAGGCGACUACCUGGCCUGUUCUUGACGCUGAGGCGCGAAAGCUAGGGGAGCAAACGGG